GACAAAAAGCACCUUAAGCUUCAAAGAUGACGUUGAGAACAAAAGACCUGAAAGGAUAAAAAGUGUCCCAAGUGUUGAAACAAUGAAAAUAGAAAUGAAAUUCUCUUCUUCGAUAAGAAGUACUCCAGCUUUUGAAACAUUCACAAUGGACGCGAAAAGUUCUUCUACGG